AGCGAACGCUGGCGGCAUGCCUAACACAUGCAAGUCGAGCGCUCCCAGCAAUGGGGGAGCGGCGGACGGGUGAGUAACGCGUAGGAACGUAUCCUGAGGUGGGGGAUAACCCUGGGAAACUAGGGCUAAUACCGCAUGAUGGCGAGAGCCCAAAGAUUUAUCGCCUUGGGAGCGGCCUGCGUCUGAUUAGCUUGUUGGUGGGGUAACGGCCUACCAAGGCGAUGAUCAGUAGCUGGUCUGAGAGGAUGAUCAGCCACACUGGGACUGAGACACGGCCCAGACUCCUACGGGAGGCAGCAGUGGGGAAUAUUGGACAAUGGGCGAAAGCCUGAUCCAGCCAUUCCGCGUGCAGGAUGAAGGCCCUCGGGUUGUAAACUGCUUUUGUACAGAACGAAAAGCUCUGGCUAAUACCUGGAGUCCAUGACGGUACUGUAAGAAUAAGCACCGGCUAACUACGUGCCAGCAGCCGCGGUAAUGCACG
rnacentral:rRNA from 1 species